rnacentral:rRNA from 1 species
UACGGGAGGCAGCAGUGAGGAAUAUUGGUCAAUGGGCGUGAGCCUGAACCAGCCAAGUAGCGUGCAGGAUGACGGCCCUAUGGGUUGUAAACUGCUUUUAUGCGGGGAUAAAGUGAGGGACGCGUCCCUUUUUGUAGGUACCGCAUGAAUAAGGACCGGCUAAUUCCGUGCCAGCAGCCGCGGUAAU